GUUAUGGGCACACAUUGGGUGGAGAGGGAUGAAUGGAAUGUUUACAUGGUUAUCAUUUCUUCAGGGAAGUUCAGAGCCAGAUUUCUUAUUCCUCUGUAUAGCCCUGAGAAUCCUUUGUUUUAUGAGGUGCUUACUAACUUGAAGCCCCAGAGAGGUACGUUUUAGAUGAGUGGUAAUGUUAUUCGGUGAUUUAACAAGUUCGUUGGUCGGUCGCGAGGUUUUUCCACCAUGAUUGAAAAGUCACACGAGUAUGAACCUUCUGACUAUACUGCUGCUAGCUUCUUAACUGAUUAUUAUGCAAAUCUUAUCGGGUGAGAGGGCCAAGGAUGGGUUGUUUGCUUCAACUGGACGAACUCUCCUGAGAGUAAAAAACUUUUGCUUCCCAACCUCGACCCUAAGGGAAAUAAUACCAACCAAUUUCUUCGCAACUCGAGCGCUGAGGCCUGGAUAAUAUUUCCUUUAAUUCUUAACCGUCCUUGGGUUUGGGGAAGAAAUUCUGACGGCAAUCCUCGUACCGAUCCCCUUGAAACAGAUGCUCACUUGCCCCAAUAUGCCUUUGGGUUUUUCAUUGGCCCGAAAAACCAGCUAAGGAUAUCAUUCAUGAUAUUGUUAAAAGGCGAGUUACUGCUUCUCGCAAGCAAGCACCUUCCCUGGAGACGAGUUUUCCCAAGAAGGAUGGUACGAGCGGGUCAGCUGUUGUUUCUCCUUCUGCGAAGAAGAGUCGUCCGAUACCUUAGGCGAAUACUGGUCCAGGUCUGGUGAAGCAACUUAUGAAGAAGUCACAAACCAAGAUAAUUAUCGAUAUUGCGGACGAUGAAGGAGAUGUCUCCGAUAAAGAAGCCACGAAGAUAACCAUUGUUACUGCCUCGGCUGUAAUAAAGGAGGACAUCAUGCCUCCACUUCAAAACAUUAUUCCUGAGAAGUCUAUUGUUGAUGGUGCCAAGAAGCCUGUCACCGUUGUGGAGAAACAUAUGGAGGUGCAAGGUGAGUCAAAGACCAAUGGGAAGAGUUCUUUUAUGGUCUCAGUUGUUUGAAUACCUUGAAGCUGGCAAUCCAUUUCCUGUAUCUUCAAAUUUAUGCUCUGCAAUGGUUAAGCUUUCUUCAGAUUCCUUCGCCCAAUAGGAUGUUGUAGUGAAAAGGGAUGUCUCUAC